rnacentral:rRNA from 1 species
UGGGGAAUAUUGGGCAAUGGGCGAAAGCCUGACCCAGCCAUGCCGCGUGAGUGAUGAAGGCCUUAGGGUUGUAAAACUCUUUCGCUGGGGAAGAUAAUGACGGUACCCAGUAAAGAAGCCCCGGCUAAUUUCGUGCCAGCAGCCGCGGUAAUACGAAAGGGGCUAGCGUUGUUCGGAAUUACUGGGCGUAAAGCGCGCGUAGGCGGCAUGCCAAGUUGGGGGUGAAAUCCCGGGGCUCAACCCCGGAACUGCCUCCAAAACUGGCAAGCUAGAGGAUGUGAGAGGAUAGUGGAAUUCCGAGUGUAGAGGUGAAAUUCGUAGAUAUUCGGAAGAACACCAGUGGCGAAGGCGACUGUCUGGCACAUUUCUGACGCUGAGGUGCGAAAGCGUGGGGAGCAAACAGGAUUAGAUACCCCCGUAGUCC